AGCAGCCGCGGUAAUACGUAGGGUGCAAGCGUUGUCCGGAAUUAUUGGGCGUAAAGAGCUCGUAGGCGGCUUGUCGCGUCUGCUGUGAAAUCCCGGGGCUCAACCCCGGGCCUGCAGUGGGUACGGGCAAGCUAGAGUGCGGUAGGGGAGAUUGGAAUUCCUGGUGUAGCGGUGGAAUGCGCAGAUAUCAGGAGGAACACCGAUGGCGAAGGCAGAUCUCUGGGCCGCUACUGACGCUGAGGAGCGAAAGCAUGGGGAGCGAACAGGAUUAGAUACCCUGGUAGUCCAUGCCGUAAACGUUGGGAACUAGAUGUAGGGCCUGUUCCACGGGUUCUGUGUCGUAGCUAACGCAUUAAGUUCCCCGCCUGGGGAGUACGGCCGCAAGGCUAAAACUCAAAGGAAUUGACGGGGGCCCGCACAAGCGGCGGAGCAUGCGGAUUAAUUCGAUGCAACGCGAAGAACCUUACCAAGGCUUGACAUAGCCGAGAACGCUGUAGAGAUACAGAACUCUUUGGACACUCGGUUACAGGUGGUGCAUGGUUGUCGUCAGCUCGUGUCGUGAGAUGUUCGGUUAAGUCCGGCAACGAGCGCAACCCUCGUCCUAUGUUGCCAGCACGUUAUGGUGGGAACUCAUGGGAUACUGCCGUGGUCAACACGGAGGAAGGUGGGGAUGACGUCAAAUCAUCAUGCCCCUUAUGUCUUGGGCUUCACGCAUGCUACAAUGGCCGAUACAAAGGGCUGCGAUACCGCGAGGUGGAGCGAAUCCCAAAAAGUCGGUCUCAGUUCGGAUUGGGGUCUGCAACUCGACCCCAUGAAGUCGGAGUCGCUAGUAAUCGCAGAUCAGCAACGCUGCGGUGAAUACGUUCCCGGGCCUUGUACACACCGCCCGUCAAGUCAUGAAAGUCGGUAACACCCGAAGCCGGUGGCCUAACCCUUGUGGAGGGAGCCGU
rnacentral:rRNA from 1 species